CCUACGGGUGGCAGCAGUGGGGAAUAUUGCGCAAUGGGCGCAAGCCUGACCCAGCAACGCCGCGUGAAGGAAGAAGGCUUUCGUGUUGUAAACCUCUUUUCUCAGGGACGAAGCAAGUGAUGGUACCUGAGGAAUAAGCCACGGCUAACUACGUGCCAGCAGCCGCGGUAAGACGUAGGCGGCAAGCGUUAUCCGGAUUUACUGGUUGUAAAGGGGGCGGAGGCGGGACUGCAAGUCAGAUGUGAAACCCACGGGCUCAACCUGUGGCCUGCAUUUGAAACUGUAGUUCUUGAGUACUGGAGAGGCAAGCGGAAUUCCUAGUGUAGCGGUGAAAUGCGUAGAUAUUAGGAGGAACACCAGUGGCGAAGGCGGUCUGCUGGACAGCAACUGACGCUGAGGCGCGAAAGCGUGGGGAGCAAACAGGAUUAGAUACCCGGGUAGUC
rnacentral:rRNA from 1 species